UUAAGGAAGUAAGGGCACACAGAGGAUGCCUAGGCACUAGAAGGCGAAGAAGGACGCGACGAACGGCGAAACGCUUCGGGGAGUGGUAAGUACACAACGAUCCGGAGGAAUCCGAAUGGGAGAACCCCCUUGUCAGGAGGACAAGGAUAUCGAAAGAUAGGCAAGACCUUCCGAAUUGAAAUAUCUUAGUAGGAAGAGGAAAAGAAAGUAAGAACGAUUCUGAGAGUAGUGACGAGCGAAAUUGGAGGAACCUGAUGUACGGGAAUUGAGGUACUGGAUAGAUGAAUGUUUUGGGAAAGACAGGCGAAGAAGGUGAAACCCCUGUAAUCGAAAUCGAGUAAGGAGAGCGUACACGAGAAGUACGGCAGGACACGAGAAAUCCGGUCGGAACGAAUAAUGAGGACCACCUCAAAAGGUUAAAUACUAGCUAGUGACCGAUAGAGAACAAGUACCGUGAGGGAAAGGUGAAAAGAACCCCGGGAGGGGAGUGAAAGAGAACCUGAAACUGUGUGCUUACAAGUAGUCAGAGCGCGUUAAAGCGUGAUGGCGUGCCUUUUGUAGAAUGAACCGGCGAGUUACGUUAUCUAGCGAGGUUAAGUGUAGAGGCACGGAGCCGAAGCGAAAGCGAGUCUUAAGAGGGCGGUAAGUUAGAUGAUGUAGACCCGAAACCCGGCGAGCUAGCCAUGAGCAGGAUGAAGCGAUGGUAAGACAUCGUGGAGGUCCGAACUAUAGCCUGUUGAAAAAGGCCUGGAUGACUUGUGGCUAGGGGUGAAAUUCCAAUCGAGCCGGGAGAUAGCUGGUUCUCCCCGAAAUAGCUUUAGGGCUAGCGUCCAUAGAGAGUUUAUAGGAGGUAGAGCACUGAAUGGUUGAUGGUCCCACCUCGGGAUACUGAGAUCAAUCAAACUCCGAAUGCUUAUAAACACGAUGGGCAGUCAGACUUGUGGGCGAGAAAGUUCAUGGUCAAAAGGAGAAGAGUCCAGACCGCCAGAUAAGGUCCCAAAAUGUAUGCUAAGUGGAGAAGGAUGUAGAGAUGCCGAAACAACUAGGAUGUUGGCUUAGAAGCAGCCAUCAUUAAAAGAGUGCGUAAUAGCUCACUAGUCGAGUGACUCUGCGCCGAAAAUGUACCGGGGCUAAGCAUACUACCGAAGCUGCGGAAUAUUGCGAGAAGCAAUAUUGGUAGGGGAGCGUUCUAUACAGGAAGAAGGUAUACCGGGAGGAAUACUGGACAGUAUAGAAGUGAGAAUGCCGGUGUAAGUAACGAUAAGAUGGGUGAGAAUCCCAUCCGUCAAAAACCCAAGGUUUCCAGGGGAAGGUUCGUCCGCCCUGGGUAAGUCGGGACCUAAGGUGAGGCCGAGAGGCGUAGCUGAUGGACAUUUGGUGUAUAAUCCAGAACUACUUAUAGAACUGAAGGAGGGACGAAGGAGGCGAGGAUAGGACCGAUGAGUGGAUUUCGGUCAAGGUAUCGAGGCCAGUACGGAGGAAAAGCCCUGUACGAGAGGUUAGGUACCGAGGUAAGGCUAUACCGAGUCAAACUUCCGAGAAAAACUUCUAAAGAUAUUUUAUAAGUACCCGUACCGUAAACCGACACAGGUGGGUGAGAAGAGAAUUCUAAGACGCGCGAGAAAACCCUUGUUAAGGAACUCGGCAAAUUGACCCCGUAAGUUAGCGAGAAGGGGGACUCAUAGAGAUAUGAGUCGCAGAGAAUAGGCCCAAGCAACUGUUUAACAAAAACACAGGUUUGUGCAAAACCGAAAGGUGAAGUAUACGAGCUGACGCCUGCCCGGUGCUGGAAGGUUAAGAGGAGAUGUCAGGCAACGAAGCAUCGAAUUGAAGCCCCAGUAAACGGCGGCCGUAACUAUAACGGUCCUAAGGUAGCGAAAUUCCUUGUCAGGUAAGUUCUGACCCGCACGAAAGGCGUAAUGUCUUUGGGCACUGUCUCAACAAGGGGCUCGGUGAAAUCAUAAUACCGGUGAAAAUGCCGGUUACCCGCGACUAGACGGAAAGACCCCAUGGAGCUUUACUGUAGCUUGAUAUUGAUACUUGGUAUGUGAUGCACAGGAUAGGUGGGACACGAAGAAGUUAGGACUUCGGUUUUGACGGAGUGGCCGUUGGGAUACCACCCUUUGCAUAUUGAGCGUCUAACUGAUGUUAGUGGAUAACAGAGGACAGUGUCAGGUGGGCAGUUUGACUGGGGCGGUCGCCUCCUAAAGAGUAACGGAGGCGCUCGAAGGUUCCCUCAGAAUGGUUGGAAAUCAUUUGAAGAGUGUAAAGGCAGAAGGGAGCUUGACUGACAGACGAACAGGUCGAACAGGGACGAAAGUCGGACUUAGUGAUCUUGCGGUACCGAGUGGAAGGGCCGUGACUUAACGGAUAAAAGCUACCCUGGGGAUAACAGGCUGAUCCUGCCCAAGCGUUCACAGCGACGGCAGGGUUUGGCACCUCGAUGUCGGCUCGUCGCAUCCUGGAGGUGGAGAAGCUUCCAAGGGUUGGGCUGUUCGCCCAUUAAAGCGGCACGCGAGCUGGGUUCAAAACGUCGUGAGACAGUUUGGUCCCUAUCUGUCGUGGGCGAUGGAAAUUUGAAGAGAGCUGUCCUUAGUACGAGAGGACCGGGAUGGACAUACCACUGGUGUACCAGUUGGCCUGCCAGGGCCAUAGCUGGGUAGCUACGUAUGGAAAGGAUAAACGCUGAAAGCAUCUAAGCGCGAAGCCUCCUCUAAGAUGAGAUUUCCCAAAUAGUAAGAUCCCUUAUAGACGAUGAGGUUGAUAGGCCGGGAGUGGAAGUAUGGUGACAUAUUCGAGCGGACCGGUACUAAUAGAUCGAGGACUUAACCUU
rnacentral:rRNA from 1 species